UUAAAACAUUACAUAAGAGCUGAUUUUAUUAUUAUUAUAAAUAAAGCUCUUAAAACAGUUUCUGGUCAGCAGUAAGAACUCAAUAAAUGUUAACGGUUAUUAUUAGUCAUGUAACUACCAAGAUAAUCCAUAAACUGUAUUAGUCAUCCUGUUAAGAAGCAAGGCCUGGUUUGUUUCUUCCUUUUAUUAUACAAUUUUACUGCUUCUAAUUUAAACUCUUGCCUCCCUAAGUUCAAUUCAGGAAGAGAGUCAGGAUGAAAGGACUGGAAGGACAGACGAGAGUGCUGAUGGAAACAAAACUACUCAAAUAGUAGGGGGGGGAGAGAGAGAGAGAGAGAGAGAAAGAGAGAGAGAGAGAGAGAGAGACUUUGUCAGCUAAAAAUUAACUAGACUGUCAGCUCCUGCGUCUUUUGCAUCCAUCUCGGAACCUGGAAAAAAAUAUUUGCAGUGGUCCUCAUGUCCGCAGCAGGCCUUGCUCCGAUGGUUUUGCAGAGCAGGAAGUGAAAAUUUCCAAAAGGCGGGAUAAAAGAAGAAACAGAGAUAGAUAAGCUAGCACAGGAACAAGGCGCAGAGCAGGAAAGUUACCAGGACAGAACAGGGAGGGACUGACUGUCGCAGGGCAGGGAGCAGGAGGAGGAAAGAAGCCACUUUUCAGUGAAAGGCAUUUGUAAUUACAAGAAAGCCAGGUUCUUCAGGGCCCUAGAGGAACAGAAAUACAAUUCCCUGGCUUCUGGGGAGAGCACUUAGGGGCUCCUAUAUCCCCAUCUUUUUGAAUUUUCCCUUCUCAAACGCCAGAAUUUGGAAAAAGAUGGGGAGGGUCUUUAAAUUAUUUGGCAUAAACUCCAAAAAAGUGGAGAAACUGUGAACCAGCAACCCUCGACUAGGUUUUGCUGUGAUGGUUGCUGAAAUCACUUGCUCACAGGAUGACAGGAGCUGGGAACCUCAAGGUAGGUGAGGCUGCCAAGAUGCGAGUACCGGACUCGGCUGGGGCGCAGAUGGAGCCCGCCCGGUAGGGGGCGUGCGGGGCCGUGUUUCCUGGGUUCCGGAGCCCGGCCCGGCCCGGCCCGGCCCAGCCCAGCCCAGCCGCGCCGAGCCGAGCCGAGCCGCGCGGCCAGUGUGUGUCCUUGCUCCUCGAGCGGCCUUGAGCAGUGCCCAGCGUUGAGGGUGAGGCUCGUGCUCCGGGUCUCGCGGACGGCCGCCUCGGGCGUCGGGUCCCGGAGAUUGGACAGACACCAGAGCCCGAGGACCGCGGAGUGGCCGGGUGGGGCUGGAGGGCGGCGCCGCGCCUUCUGGGGAGACACGGAGGUAUCAGGACCUGGGAUAUGCUCCUGAUUUUAUACAGACUGCCAUGGCUCCAGAUAUAAAAGACCAAAUAAAAAGGAUUAAGACCCAAACGUUGUUGAAAAAUGUUCAGAUCCUACAAGACACUGACAUGCCAGUUCCUCAGCUUUGAUGGAGAAACCAGCUUUCUCUUCUUGCAGAGAUACUCUUCAUGAAAAGUGGAGCUCCAAGAAGAAUAGACAUGAGGAAAAUAUGUAUUUUUACAAAAGGAAAUGUAUGGUGCAAUUAUAAACUGUAGCAUGAACCCAUAAUUGGAAGUCUACGUCUCACAGUUAUAGUCAGAAAUUCUGAUACAUAUGAAAUAAGUUCUUUCAAAAUGGGAUUCAGGUAUUGUUUAGAAAUGCAUCUACUGAAAAGAAGCAUACCACAAAAAUUUUUGCUGAUUAUGGAUGAGAUCAUGGACAGUUUCAUCCAAAUUAUGAGCUGGAUUUGUCAGAUGUAGAGUCUCAAUCAGGUCACUUGAAAGACCAAAUGAUUUCCUUUUCAUCUGAAGGGUUCAGAGAGGCAGCUUUUGAAAAGGCGCUAUUGAAAUAUUCAAAGUAGCUGUUCUUAGCACAGCUUUGAUUUCUAAAACAACUAGGACUAUAGAACUACAUGAGGGGAGAAAAGAGAAACUGAAGAAUUGUUUGAAAACAUAAAUAUUCUUUACUUAUAUUACCACUCCAUGCUUUGUGAAAAAAAAAUUAUUUUAUGAAGUCAAGAAGUAAAUCAGAAGAAAACAGCAGGGAAAGUCAACACAAACUGGUUUAUCUAAUACUUCCUCAGUGUCCAAUUUGCAAUGCACUGAGUUCCCUGCUUAACUAUGUCUAUAUACUGGGGGCAGGGAGAGGAGUAGGUUAAAAAUAAAUAUGAGUUGCAAGUCUUUCUCCUCGGGCUGCUAAUAUUAAUAUACCUGAAUUUUAUGUUUGUUGUUAUCUUCCUUGUCUCUAUAGUUUUUGCAACUAGUGUAUAUAUGUCUAAACAAUCUAUUGCUUAAAUUUACAUAAUUUUCAACUUUACAUAUGUAGAAUCACGCUGUUUGUUUCCUUCCAUACCUCAGUUUUUUCACUAAAAAUUGUCUUCUGAAAAAACUUGGAGGUAUCAUACUUCCUGAUUUUAAAUUAUAUUGCAAUGUUAUAGUAAACAAAUAAGUAUAGUACUUACACAAAAACAGACACAGUGUAACAGAAUGGAGUGCAGAAAUAAAUUCAAACAUAUACAGUAAACUAAUUUUUGACAGAGACACCAAGAGGAUACAGUGGGAAAAGGAUAGGAUCUUCAAUAAAUAGUGCUGAGAAAAUUGAAUUUCCACACAUAUGCAAAAUUUAUAAAAUAUAAGGCCUAAAACUAUAAAAUUCCUUAAAGAGAACACAAAAAGCUCCUGGACAUUGGCCUUGGAAAUAAUUUUUUUAAUAUCACACCAAAAAAUGAAAAAAAAAAAAAAAGCUCAGGCUACAAAAGCAAAAAUAAAUAAAUGAAACUACAUUGAACUACAAAGAUUUGUACAGCAAAGUAAAUAACCAACAAAAUAAAAUGACAGCCUAUGGAUUGAGAAAAAUAUUUGCAAACCAUGCAUCUGAUAAGGGAAUAAUAUCCGAAAUUAAUAAAGAACUCAUACAACUCAAUAAUAGGAAAUCAAAUAGCCUGAUUUUAAAAUGGGAAAAGAGCACUUGUCGACAUUUCUCCAAAUAAGACAUAAAAGUGGCCAACAGAUAUAUGAAAAGGCACCCAACAUCAUUAAUCGUCAGAAGAAUGCAAAUAAAAACCAUUGAGAUAGCAUCUCACACCCAUUAGGAUGGCUGUUAUCAAAAAAACAAAAGAUAAAUGUUGGUGGAGUUGUGGAGAACAGGGAGCCCUAGUACAUUGUUGGUAGGGUUAUAGAUUGGUACAACCAUUAUGAAAAAUAAUAUUGAGAUGUCUAAAGAAAUUUAAAUGAGAACCAUCAUGAUCUGACCCAGCAAUCCUUCUUCUGAGCAUAGACCCAAAGUAAAUGAAAUAAUCACCUCGUAAAGGCAUCCACACUCCCAUGUUCAUUGCAGUACUAUUCUCAAUAGCCAAGAUGUGAAAAGAGCCUAGAUGUCUGUUAAUGGACAAAUGGAUAAACUGUGAUAUACAUAUACAUAUACAUAUACAUAUACGUAUAGUUCUCUUACACUGAAUGUAUAUUAUUCAAUAUUGAAAAAGAAGAUUCUGCCAUUUGCCACACAUAGUGAACCUGGAGGAUGUUAUACUAAGGGAAAUAAGCCAGAUGCAGAAAGAAAAAUAUUGCGUUAUCUUGCUUAUUUGUGAAAUCUAAAAGAAAAAGUGAAGUAUACAGAGAUAGAGAAUAAAACUGUUGUUAUGGGCAGGGGAUAGAGAGAUGAAGGUCAAAUAUGUGAACUGAAUGAGACUAGAGAUCUGAGGUACAUCAUGAAGAAUAUAGGCAAUAAAAUUGCACUGUAUUUGGGAAACCUGCUGAGUAGAUUUUAGUUACUGUUGCCACAGAAACAAAGAAGAAAUAGGUACCUAUGUGAGAUUAUGGAUAUGUUAAUUUGCUUCACUAUAUGUAACUAUAUGUAUCCCAUCACAUCGUGUUGGAUACUUUAAAUAUAUGCAAUAAAAAUGUAUAUUAAAAAAUUAUCUUUUGGGAUUUGUUCAUGUUGAGGCACGUAGGAGUAAUUCAUUUUUCAUCACCAAAGAGUAUUCCAUUUUAUGAAUAUGCUAUAAUUUACAGCAUAAUUUAUUUUUGCUUUGGGUGAAUAUUGAAAUUUUUAUAGACUUUUAUUUAUUUGUGUGUCUGCUUGGCUCUUACAAACAUGCCUGCCUUGAACAUUCUUGUAUAUCUCCUGGUAUUCAUAUGUAAAAGUUUAUCUAGGUUUAUCUAUCUAGAAGUAGAAUUGUUGCGUUAUUGGACAUGGGCACCUUUAACUUUAUUUACUGGAUAAUGCCAACUCGUUUUCCAGAGUACUAAUUUAUACAGUUAUCCUUCAGAAUCUGUGGAUGAUUUGUUCCAGGACUUCCUAUAGAUAUCAAAAUCCACAGAUACUAAAGUCUCUUAUGUAGAAAUGGCAUAGUAUUUGCAUAUAACCUAUGCAUACCCUUCCAUAUACUUUAAUCUUUAGGUUACUUAAUAUACCCAAUAUGAUGUAAGUGCUAUGUAAAUGGUUGUUAUGCUGUAUUGUUUAAGAAAUAAUGAUAAGGAAAAAAGUUGGUACUUGUUCAGUACAAAUGCAAGCACCCUCUUCUUUCCAAAUACUUUCUAUCCAUGGUUGGUUGAAUCCACGAAUAUACAACCCAUGGAUAUGGAGGGCCAACUGUACUCAUACUUGCCUUCUGUUAUUGCUUGAGAAUCUGUCCAACACUUGUUACUGAUCCAACUUUGUAAUUAUUGCUGCUGUGAUUGGUACAAGUAGUAUUUUAUGUUAUUUUAAUUUGCAUUCCCCAUAUGUUUGUUGCCAGUCCCACUGUCUUUCUGGAAAAUGCCCAUUUGUGUCUUUUGCCCAUUUUUUUCUAUUAGGUUGUCUGCCUUUUUUUUCAGUGAUUUUGAGUUUUAAAAAUUAUCUUUGAGUUCCAUAUAUUUUGGAGACUAAUCCUUUGCUAGGUAUAUAUGUCACAAAUUGGGGUUUAUUGAUAAAUAGAAUUCUUCAUUUUAAUGUAGUUCAAUGUAUUAACCUUUUUCUUUAUGAUUUGUUUUAGAUGUCUUGUUAAAGAAAUUCCUACUUAUUAUGAGGUAAUUUAUUCGCCUCUAUUUCCUUCUAAAAGUUUUAAAGUUUUGCCUUUUACAUGUAAGUCCUUUGUCCAACCUGAAACUCGAUAAUGCAUUUCCAAUUAAUUUUUAAAAUUUUCUCCAUAAUUGCCUUGCAUAUUGAGAUAAUUGUAUGUUUUCUUUCUUCCUAGUUUGUUAAGGUAGUAUUAGAGUAAUAAACUUGAGAACGUUUAAUUAACCUGCAUUCCUGAAACAAAUUCAACUUGAGCCUGAUGUACACUGUGUAGUUUAUUUUGUGAAUAUUUCCUUGGUGACUUUCAUAUAUAUUCAUAAAGGAGAUUAAUCUGUAAUUUUGCUUGGUUUUGAUCUCACAGUUAUUUUAGAUCAAGAAAAUCUUUUAAUGCUUUUAUCCUUAAAGUGUAUUUUGUUAAUAUCAGCAUUACCUAAAUUUUAUUAGUGUGUAUGUAUAUGUGUGUGUGUGUGUGUAUAUAUAUCUACACAUAUUUGUUUGUGUAGUCAUUAAGCUGUACACUUAGUAUUUCUGCAUAUUGCCAUAUGUAAAUGGUACCUAAUAAAGUACUAUUGUUGUUUUUAAAAAGAAUGUAAUAAGCAACCAAGAAAACAUGGACUAUUCAGCUACCACCAUCAACUUUCAGUAAUGGAGAAUGGCAGGUGAAACAAAACAAAGAUGCAUAAACUAAAGCAAAAUUCCAAAAUUCUUUCAUUUUGGAAACAAAAAUCUUUCAUUAAAAAAUUUCUUUGACAUAAGUCUGUUGGUAGAAAUCUCAGUUUUUGUCUUCAAAAAAUUUGUUUCUGAGAAACUAGAAGCUUACCUGCCAAGAUCAGGAACAGG
rnacentral:lncRNA from 1 species